rnacentral:rRNA from 1 species
AUGAUGUUCGCAAGUCCUCAUCCCCCUUGCGGGGGGGGGUAGACACGUCCUACAAUGGCGCAUACAGAGGGCGGGCAACCUCAGAAAGUGAGCGAAUCCCAAAAAGUGCGUCGUAGUCCGGAUUGGAGUCUGCAACUCGACUCCAUGAAGUCGGAAUCGCUAGUAAUCGUGGAUCAGAAUGCCACGGUGAAUACGUUCCCGGGCCUUGUACACACCGCCCGUCACACCAUGGGAGUGGGCUGCAAAAGAAGUGGGUAGUUUAACCUUCGGGAGGACGCUCACCACUUUGUGGUUCAUGACUGGGGUGAAGUCGUAACAAGGUAACCG